UGAGCACGAUGAUUGUUCAUUUGGAGUUUCUUCUUCUUCAUCAUCAUCGAUCUAUGAUGGGUUCUAGGUCGGCAGCCUAGGAUAGCAAGGAUGGACGUUGUUCUUUUCUUGUUUGUUUUCGUCUGUAGUCGGACCCUGUUCUUCUUCGUGAUAUUUAUGUAUUGUACUGAUGUGACUCUGAUGUAGCUUGUGGCGAGUGUAAGCCAAUUCCACAUACUCUUCUCUUCAGUACAUGUACUUGUAAUGAUAUCCAUUCUUGCGAAACGACGAGACGCGCUUAUGAG
rnacentral:lncRNA from 1 species